rnacentral:rRNA from 1 species
UUCGUCGGCGUCCAAUUAAGUUUCUUGUUUAAGCCCGAGGCUCAACUUCGGAUCAGCAAGAAAAACUAUUUGGAUAGAGUCUGUUCGAGGAAACUAGAAUUCUUGGUGGAGGGGUGAAAUCCGUAGAUAUCAAGAGGAAUACCGAGCGCGAAGGCAGGUUUCUAGGACAGUACUGACGCUCAGGAACGAAAGCUUGGGUAGCAAAAG